GGAUAUCAAUUUAUGGAGACAGCAUCCAACAGCCCCCCCCCCCCCUUCAUCUGGAGGAUGCACACAAGGAUCUCUACUUAGACGGAACAUACACCAUAUGACAAAACAUCCAACAUACAUGUCCCUGGUCCAUACCCCUUCAGGAUCUCUACGUACAGACACAGAACAACCAAUAUGUGCCCCCCCCCGGAGGGCCAUACCCCUUCAGGAUCUCUACUUACAGACACAGAACAUCCAACAUGUGCCCCUUGGGCGAUGCCCCGCCGGAUCUUGUAGUAGAUGUCCCCGGGCUUUAGUCGAGUUUUCUCCAGAUUGAUUGCAUCAUACACUCCUCCUGUCAGACUUAGGAACGUCAACCACAGUUCAUCCUUGUCGUGGCAAUAGGAUAGGAGACGUAUACCCCCGCUGUUGGAGACACAGGGGACCGAAUCGUCAACGUAAAUGUCAACCCAGCGUCCGAACCUCCAUACUCUGCAGUGGACAACGCCCACAUAGAUUUCCUCCUUUUUGUAAAUCACUCGGGUUUUAUCGUUGGGUAUCAGCUGUUGGUUAAACAUUUACAAUCCCGAUGAAGUAUACAAGCAAAAACUGAUGACACAAUAGAAUUAUUAAAGUGCCCUCAAAUCAAUAUUUUUUUUAUAUACCUGUAGCUUUAAAAUCAUCAAUCACUACAUAGCAAAAUGCUUGAUAUUCCUAUGACAAAAUGCAUUUAAUACAAUGUACCAGGAUAUACCAUCCAAUUCAGAUCGUAUUUUGGGUGAAGCUACCCUCUUUUUUGUAUACUUGUCACCUCACCCCCUCUUUUUUUUUAACAAUAAAACUUUGGGUAAACUUGA